rnacentral:lncRNA from 1 species
CUGCUCAAUCAUUGGUUCAUGCUGUGAAGGAGUGGAGUGCAGUGAACUUCCAGGUCACAGCCUGGUUGAGCACCAGGUGAGAAGCUGUGGCUAAUGCAGGGAGCUCAGGAACAAGCAGUGCACCUGAGUGACCACAAGCAAUGCACCUGGAUCCUGGUUCCACCCCUCCUCAGCCUCAUUUAAGGAUUUGCAGCCAGGGGAUCAGCUUCUUUAUCGGCUGAGAUUAUGUGUGUCUUGAGCUGUCACUGGUUUAAAAAGGUACCUUGUGGGUGAAGUGCCGGCAGAUGGUGCUCAAGAACACAUACCAGCCGGGACAUAGAGGUGUGCAGAAGCGGAGCCCGGCUUGUGCUGUCCCUUCAGCAGCUCCUGCUUUCCUGGCAGGCUUUCCCUCUCCGUGAAUGUGUUUCUGUGGGACCAUGCAGAGAGCAGCAGACUCAGCUGUAGUUUUGUCCUUGCUAAGUUCCAGCAGCUGCCUUGCAGAGCCAUUGGCAUCA